AGCUAACUGAUUAACUCAACAGAAUUGUCCAGUUGCACUGGUCGAUUAGUUAAACUGAUCAAUGCGAUUUGUCAAUUCCGUUGAUCGAUCGUUAACUUUAACCGGAGUUG
rnacentral:pre_miRNA from 1 species